GGGUCAGUAGGUUGGUCGUGCCACCGGUACGUACUGGUCUCACUGAUUCCUCCUCCCUGAAGAACCGUAAUGCCAUUAAUUUGGUGUUGCGGGGAAACAGGACUGUUACUUUGAAAAAAUUAGAGUGUUUAAAGCAAGCUAACGCUUGAAUACAUUAGCAUGGAAUAAUGAAAUAGGACGAUCGAUCCUAUUUUGUUGGUUUCCAGGAUUGACGUA
rnacentral:rRNA from 1 species